CUGCUCUGCUGCGGCUAGGAAAUAAGACGCUACACGCUAGCAUCCGCUUCUCUCUCCCAAAUGGUCACACCAUUUUCCACGGGGCUUUUACUUUGCCAAGAAUAUUCCACCCAGGUCGUCUUUUCCCUGGAAAUAGUUACCCCCGCAUCCAAACAAGGCCCCCGGUCUUUACACAGGCCCAUUUGGUGUCGAGAGGGAGAGGCAUUUCCAUCCCCAACCCACCCCAAUUCCCUGGCUAGGAAACCCUCGCCUCAUCACUCCGGAAACGUUAUCCCCGUCCUUCUGAUGAUGCGCCACUGCCCGCGACGGGAAGUUCUGGUGUCCUCCGCCUCACGACCUGCUCUGCUGUGGCUAGGAAAUAAGACGCUACACGCUAGCAUCCGCUUCUCUCUCCCAAAUGGUCACACCAUUUUCCACGGGGCUUUUACUUUGCCAAGAAUAUUCCACCCAGGUCGUCUUUUCCCUGGAAAUAGUUACCCCCGCAUCCAAACAAGGCCUCAAGGGCUCUAGGUAACCUCAACAGGUGGAGAUCUGUGUCCCAACAGGAUGGUGUGGAUGAUAAUAUUAACAAUGAUUUCUGAAAAAGAAUUAAGAACAAGUCCCAGUUACAUUCUGGGUUCGCUUAGAUGCAUAGUUAGGUUAGCUAUAUGUCUUCUGGCUGCAUGUCUUGCUGAAUAGCACUGGUGAGCUCCAUGAUUCGUAUUUUAGUUGCAUGUGCCGUUUUUGGAUACUUAACAUACCCAGUUGACUAGUAGAGAUUUAUCAUAACUAGUUCGUCUCUUAGGCUCAGCUCUCAGAGAUAAUAAACAAAAUCUCCAGUUAAAACCGCAUUGUCGUCUUUCUUGACCGGCUAUAUCCUAGAUCCGUUCAUCCCCAAACCGCAUUGUCGUCUUUUCUUUCUUGACGGCUAUAUCCUAGAUCCAUUCAUCCCCAACCAGUACCCUCCAUCACCAAGCAGCCUGCUACUUCAAGACAUUGCUGUCUGGUCUCUGUACAUUGGAUAUUACGUAAUGUGACCUUACAUGCACGACAAUUAACUUUUUUAGAACUGUCAGCACUGAAUAUUCAGCAUUGGCGAGUAACAGCAACUGUAAUUGCUUCUUUUUUACAAUAUAUCAAUAGAUAGCAGCACCCGCUGCACCUUAAAGAUCAUUGAACUCAUGAAAACACGGGGAU
rnacentral:lncRNA from 1 species